CUUUCCCGCCACAGGAAGGCAUUUGUCUGCCUAAUGACCUGCAAGCAGGAAGGAUAUUCGGUAACCUCAUUUUGUUCUGUUGACCUUCGCCGGAGACACCUCAACUGAUCCUUUUAAAAGAAGAUGGGACAAUGAGCAUAAUGGGUGCUCAAGAAAACUUUCAGUUCAUUUUUCUCUGUCAGUUGAUUGUCUAUUUUAAUCCUUAAGCCUGUAAGUUUAAAUUUGUAUUUGUUCCACAGUCAUCUUUCAAACACUUCUGAUACACAAGGCUGUGUGCUAUGCAGGAUCUCCAUUCAUCCCUCAAAGGAAUAACAUUUGGCAUCUUCUAGGCCUUUUGGAAAAAUGAAUUAUCAGCUGCAGGUAGUUCCAAAACUAGCUAGAACAAUCCUCUACAUCCUGGAAAGUACAGUUCUCUGAGGCCAAGAGCCAGCCACACUUGGGAUGGAAGCUCACACAUGAAAUUCAUCUCAGAUCAGCUCUGCAAUCCUCAAAUCAUUACAAACUCCUUCCAAUAUAACUUGGAGCCAAAAAGUAUGAUCAUUCAAAGUGACUGUACUUGUUUUCAAUGGUCAGGAGUGGCACCUACAUGGCUUAGCAAGUUCCAGUAACAUCAAGGACACCCAAGUAAUAAAAGUAACAAGUAAAGAAAUGUGGAUUUGGGGGAUUCAAAGAACUUUUAAUUAGAAGUUGUGAUUCUGCUCAACCAACAUGGUUUGAUCUAUAGUCCAUCAUGUUCUUCAGGAAGUCUCUAUGGAAUGGUUAACAACUUACAGCCACAGUAUUAGGAAACUUUAAUCAGGUGCAUUUUAAACAAAUUCUCCAAAUCACAGGGCAAUCGAAGAAUAACGAUACAAAUUUAAGUAUCCAUUCAAAUAUGUCUGUCUUUUUAGCCAAAAGCUUGACCUUGGGUCAGCCUGUAUCUAAUAUCUGAACAGCACCCCUGCAAGAUCUUUCUCAAAUUGGAAUGCAAAGUCUUGGGAAGAAUAUUCAAGCAAAAUAGAAUCCCUGAAACUUCAUUUAAAGGCCUCAAAUUUGAACAACUCUAUUUUUCAGAGAUAGUACUGAAUGCUCCAUGAUGAAGAGUGGAAGGACUGAAGCUGAAAUUGUGGGACUAAAUCUUUCCAGAACUCAUGAUAGCUGUUCCUCCACUGCUUAAAAAACAGGCUUCCAGGGCAACAUGGAAUCAGCAUUCAUUCUUGGCAUUUUUGAGUACCUGAAAAUAAUAUAACUAAAACUUAUGAAACUCAAAAUGUUUUUAUCUCCUGUGUUGCUUAGACUUAGAAUUUCUAUUUCUGAAGCCAGAAAAAGAAAGCUAAUCCAAGGGCUUAAUCCACAUCUCUGAAGCCAAGUUCUAUAUUCAGUAAUACUUAAUUGAAAGAUGUGCAACUUAAUUUAGGUUUUUCUUUUAAGAAGCUAGCUCAUGAAAUAAUUUCUGCCUACUCAUUUUGGAUUAUUUCUAAAAACAGAAGGCCCAAAAUUAUUAUCAAUCUAUAUUCUUAACUAUAUGGAGAUCCUAUUUGGGGGUCUUUUCACUGUAAAUAGCAGCAGUGAUGGAGGGAAGGAAAGGGUCUGGUGAGAGAAGACAGAGAGCUAAAACUUCAGGUGAGAAAGAUUCUACAAUCAUUGGAAGUUUUAAAAUAUCUGUAAUGCCUAAGAUCCAUUACUACACAAAAACUCAUUCUCCUUUUCCAUAACAAUCAUCAUCAUAAAACUACCAAUUAAGUAUACCUUUCCUCUGUUGACAAAAGAUACAAGAUGGUCAGUUAGUACCUUGCUUUUGGUGAGUGUGAGAGUACUUGUAAUCCCUAGAAGAAAAAGUGGUUAACUGUGUGUGUGGAGGCAGUGGUGGUGGUGGGGGCGGAGGUAGUUUAGAAUUCCCGUAUGCCUCUGUGUUCACUUAGUCAUUCAGAAAGUAUUUAUCGAGUGACCGUAUGCCAGGAAAUGUAAGUCCUUCUUUGUAGCAGUGAACAAAAGUGACAAAAAUCCCUGCUUUCCUGAAGCAUAGUCAGAAGAGACUAAUAAUAAAUCAACACAUAUUUUAAUAGUGUUGAUAAAACAAUGGAAAAAAAACAAACAAGAGAGGGGGAUAGGGAGAUUUGGUGGGUUUGCCAUUUAAAAUAAGAUGAUGAGACAUAUGGAGAUUAGGGGCAACAGUCAUCCAAAUGAGGGAGUAGAAAUGGCGAGUUCAACAAGCAGGGAGGUGACUCCUGUGGUUGGUGUGUAGCGAGUAGGAGGGUCAGAGGGUAGUGAGGGGAGAAGGCAACACUGUGCAGGACUUUUGGUACUGUAAGGAUUUUGGCUUUUAUUCUGAGAUGGAAAGGCACUGGAAGCUUUUGAGCAGAGUGAACUCAUGAUCAGACCUAUGUUUCAAAAAACAAAUUGUUGAGUAAAGACUGAAAAGGGGAAAGAGUAGCAGCAGAGAGGCCAGCCAGUAGGUGGAGUGGAUAGGGUGGCAGUGGGGAAGGUGGCUGGAUUUCAGAUAGGUUUCAAAGGUAGAGUUGAAAAGGUCUGCUGACAGGUUAGAUGUAGGUUGAGGUUUUCUAAUUACAUUUCUAUUAGAUUAGGAAAGCAGAGUCAGUAAUGACUGCAAAGUUUUGGUCCUGAGCAACUGGAGGUAUGUGUGGAGCAUAUGCUUGGGAAGUGACGUGUAAUUUUCUAAGGCUAUUGGAUUAAAUGGCGAGAAGGGGCAGUCAAAAUUAGGGGGAGGGGGUCAAUCUUGUAUAUUUGGACUUUGUUGUGUUGUUUGUAUGUGUAAAGGGAAGAGAAGACAGAUGAUUUUUGGUGACUGAAUAUCCCACCACCGUAUCCUCUUCCCAUCAAAGCUAGCAGUGGAAUUUUUAAGUAUGAGAAGGGCUUCUAAUUCACGUCAAGGAAAUAGGUAGACUCCCUCUUUAAAUUUUCUUAUCAUUGGGGCUGAAGGAUCCCCACACUUAAAAGUCUCCUGUGUUUUGGUGUCAGGGGUUGUGGGGAUGUGACGGUUGUUUAUGAAAGUUGAAUUCCAGUUGUUUCUAAAUGUAACAAGAAAGAGGAAGGCCUGUCAGCAAGGGAAUCGGAAUCCGCCUUGACUUGAAUAAGAUUAAGGACAACCCAAGUAUUUUGGGAAAUGUGUGAGGAGUUUUAGUUUUCAGCUUGAUAGUGGUAAUGGUGGGGAUGAGGGCCAAUACAUAUAUUUGUAUGUGUUCAGGAAUGGUGGUUGCAGGGGAGAACGUUGAAAGGAAACAAGCUGAUUCUUACCAAUUCCUGUCUGCUCUAUCAUCACUCUUCUUCAAUGCAGGUGGUAACACUGGAUCUUUGCUGAACGAAGCCUGUAGAAUUACUUUCUUCAUUCACUGCCUCUCCUUUCUUACUGCCCACUCUGGUCCUUACCUCCUGAAAUCUCAGCUUUCUCUCUUCCUAUUUAGCUAAACUUACUCUCUUAACAAUCAUUCAUGAUCCACCGCUCCCAAAGUCAGGACCCUUGACUUGGUUCUCACUUCCCUGACCUCUUGUCAGUAUUUAGUACCCAUCACCUACCACAGGCAUGGACGCAUGUCCUGCCAGGCUCCUGGCUGUCUCCUCUCUGCACUGGCUGUCUGUUCCACUCUCAGAAUGUUCUUCGUCAUAACCUUCUCUGGUCCUUCCUGAUUCCUUACUGCAGUUAGGUUUUGAAUGUUGCUUCUUUGGCUUUUCUUGCUACACUUCCUUGCUUGGUCAUAUCAUCUCUACAUCUAGGCCAGAUUUUCAUAAAGAAAACUCCCACAUAGCCAAACCCUAACCUUUGGUGACUUGCCAAGAAAUUCCAUUGUAUUCACAUAAGAGUUAUGGUCUUUACUCUCUAAUUCACAGUCACUUCACAGACUUUCCCCUUCUUCUUGCCUAUUGAUCCCUUUCAUGUCUCUGAGAAUGCAUACGUAGCCACUCCAGGCUGGGUAGCUCCAAACUUUGCUAAUGCCAUUCUACCUGGAAUGUCCUCUUUCGUCUGUGCCUUCCCGAUACUAAGCAUCUUAAAAACAGCCUAAAUGUCGCUUCAUGAUUUUUCUAAGUAAUAUUUUACCUCUGAACUCCCAUAGCAUUUCCCCCCAUCACUAGUAUUAGUGCAAUUUUUUUAUUAUAAUUAUGACAUCUUGUCAACCCCAGGCUACCCUUUGUGAAGGCAGGAUAUGUUUCUGAUUCAUGUGGGUAUCAGAAUACUCAACACAGUGCCUACAACAAAUCCUUGACUGGAACUUCAAUUAUUUUGAGUUGAUAAACUCCAGAGAAAUAUGAAAUGACCUGCCAUGAAAACAGAGUUGUAUAGUGUGAUAGCCAGCCCAGAGGUGCAUGUUCUGAGAUAAGUGGGCUGUGGUGUGGGUACAUCAGUUAAGAAAGCACUUUAUAAUACAGCCCUGAAACCUUUUUAUCACAAUAUUUCUCUUCACGAAAACAAAACCAUCCAAGACACUUUAGAACAAAUGCAUUCUCUCAAUAAUCAGCAUUUGGAAUUAUUUUAAACACUGGGAAAAUUCUUGGCCACUAAAAAAGUUAUAAGAAGUGAAUGACUUGCAGAUAUGUAAAUAGUAGUACUAAUCUGAAUAUGUUGGCAUAUAUUCUAAGACACAUUUAACACUACAAUUUUUGUUGAGUAAUGAGUGUGGAUAAAGUUGUAGAUAGUGUCGGUCACUCAUUGGAAUAAGAUUAACUUAAAUUUGUCACAUUAUUUCUCUUCUCUCUAAAGGGGACAACAGAAAUACUUUCUUAUUGUUCCUAUGUCCUGUGUCGUAUGUCCAGUGAAGGAGACUCCCCAAGUUGGCUUGCUCGCUAACAAAAAGGAAUGAUGUUGGUAAACAUGGAAUCAGUGAGAUUGUUACUCCUCAGGUUCCUGUAUGGACUGGUGAUUGUUAUCUAUAUAUAAUCUCCAUUUUCUUUUAAUUCUACUAAAACAGUGGUUAAGAUAUAAAUUCCAAUUAGGUAAUAAACUUUGCCAAAGAAAAAACAGAGAGAACUCUUUAUAUGAAGUAAAUUUCUCAGACUAGAGUAAUUGGGACACCUCAUUCUCACUAUACUUGGUUUGCUCACAAUAGUUAUUUCGAUUUAAUUUUUGGGAAGUGAAUAACUGGUUCCCCUGCAACCUACAUUUAUUUCUUCUUCUUUUUUAUUUAAGCAUGGAAAAG
rnacentral:lncRNA from 10 species